GAACUAGGCAUUCCCAUAUGGAAAAGAAAGAUAGGAAUAGAAUAGGUCAGCUAUAGUAAAACAAUAGAAAGUAUUUACUACUUUUGAUUGUAGAGUUAUAACAUUGCAUGAAGUAUCCACACUAAUGGUUGAAGUACCAAAAUGUAUAUAUAUAUAUAUAUAUAUAUAUAGAUAGAUAGAUAGAUAGAUAGAUAGAUAAAAGAAGAAGAAGAAGAACAAGUGCAAAAGAAGAAGAUGUACUCAGGGUUUUGUCUUAUCAAUCUGGUGCUUUUGGUACAAGAUUAGUUGGAAGAAAAUGUAUACCUGAACCAAGAACAUUGACCUUGGAGGGAUCUUCAUGUAGUGUCCAAGCUUGAAAUCAUUGAGGAAAGAGACAGCCUGCGCCAUGCUCAUAUAACCAUAGGUUUUGAAGCAGACAUUGGCUAUUGGUCUUCCUGGAUAUAUGAUACCCAUAACAUACUCUGUGAUUAUGUUCAGCCCUGGUGUCUAUGCAUGAAGUACAAGUUAUGAUGCUAAUUGGAAGGGUGAAGAAGAAAGCUAUAGCACUGGCGAAGAGGAGUCCCCACCAUGGCAUCUGAACCUGAUCAUUCAAGACUAUGCAGAGAACAAGCGAAACUGCAAGCGUGACAGCCAGCAGCAAGUGAAACCACCAAGAAGGUAUGUCCUUGUAUCUUCUCAUCAAUUUGGUAUGGAUAUCCUCCUUGCCCUUAUAAGAAGCAUGGUAUCGCUCAUAAAUCACCCUGUGAAUUGUAAGUCAUACACUAGAAUGUGAUCAUGUGUAAAUCCACAUUUCCAACUGAAAGAUUUGUAAUGAGAAAUAAGGUGAUUCUAAUUAAUUGUUGACAAUUGUUAAGUA